AGGUGCUGCACGGCUGUCGUCAGCUCGUGUCGUGAGAUGUUGGGUUAAGUCCCGCAACGAGCGCAACCCUCGAAUUUAGUUACUAACAGGUUAAGCUGAGGACUCUAGAUUGACUGCCUGGGUAACCAGGAGGAAGGUGAGGACGACGUCAAGUCAUCAUGGCCCUUACGGCCAGGGCUACACACGUGCUACAAUGGGGUAUACAAAGAGCCGCAAUACCGCGAGGUGGAGCAAAUCUCAUAAAAUAUCUCCCAGUUCGGAUAGUAGUCUGCAACUCGACUACUUGAAGUUGGAAUCGCUAGUAAUCGUGAAUCAGCAACGUCACGGUGAAUACGUUCCCGGGUCUUGUACUCACCGCCCGUCACACCAUGGGAAUUGAAUUCAUUCGAAGCGGGGAUGCUAAAAUAGCUACCUUCCACAGUGGAUUUAGUAACUAGGGUGAAGUCGUAACAAGGUA
rnacentral:rRNA from 1 species